rnacentral:rRNA from 3 species
AGUCCUGAUUUCAAGCGAGGUUACCCGCUGGAUUUA